GAAUGUGAGACCCAAAGUAAAUCAGGCACAAAGUGUGUGUGAGCGAGUGUGUGUGUGUGUGAGCGAGUGUGUGUGUGUGUGUGUGUGUGCGCGCAUGCCCUCCUCUGAGCCUUGCAUGCCCUCCAGCAGCUGGACUUCCUUUACAGUCUGCUCGUCAGCCUUAAAAACCAAACCAACGCCAUUUUGGAAUAAGACACAAAAAGACAAAAAAACAAACAAAUAAAAUAAAGGAAUCUGCUUCAGAUGUCGACGCUCUUCGUGUUGAAUCCAAAAUCUGUACAGUUUGUAAAGGGAAGCGCAGGUGGAAGUUUCUUUCUUUGUUUUACUUUCAGAUCUCUAUGUUGAUGUGUGUACCUGCUGAAUAUAUUUAUUUGAAAAGGAAUAAAUAUUUCUGGAUAUCA